UGCAGUCGAGCGGAACGAUCCUAGCUUGCUAGGAGGCGUCGAGCGGCGGACGGGUGAGUAAUGCAUAGGAAUCUGCCCGGUAGUGGGGGAUAACUUGAGGAAACUCAAGCUAAUACCGCAUACGCCCUACGGGGGAAAGCAGGGGCUCUUCGGACCUUGCGCUAUCGGAUGAGCUUAUGUCGGAUUAGCUGGUUGGUGAGGUAACGGCUCACCAAGGCGACGAUCCGUAGCUGGUCUGAGAGGAUGAUCAGCCACAUCGGGACUGAGACACGGCCCGAACUCCUACGGGAGGCAGCAGUGGGGAAUAUUGGACAAUGGGGGCAACCCUGAUCCAGCCAUGCCGCGUGUGUGAAGAAGGCCCUCGGGUUGUAAAGCACUUUCAGCGAGGAAGAAUGCUUGUCGGUUAAUACCCGGCAAGGGAGACAUCACUCGCAGAAGAAGCACCGGCUAACUCCGUGCCAGCAGCCGCGGUAAUACGGAGGGUGCGAGCGUUAAUCGGAAUUACUGGGCGUAAAGCGUGCGUAGGCGGCUUGAUAAGCCGGUUGUGAAAGCCCCGGGCUCAACCUGGGAACGGCAUCCGGAACUGUUAGGCUAGAGUGCAGGAGAGGAAGGUAGAAUUCCCGGUGUAGCGGUGAAAUGCGUAGAGAUCGGGAGGAAUACCAGUGGCGAAGGCGGCCUUCUGGACUGACACUGACGCUGAGGUACGAAAGCGUGGGUAGCAAACAGGAUUAGAUACCCUGGUAGUCCACGCCCGUAAACGAUGUCGACUAGCCGUUGGGGUCCUCGAGACCUUUGUGGCGCAGUUAACGCACUAAGUCGACCGCCUGGGGAGUACGGCCGCAAGGUUAAAACUCAAUGAAUUGACGGGGGCCCGCACAAGCGGUGGAGCAUGUGGUUUAAUUCGAUGCAACGCGAAGAACCUUACCUAC
rnacentral:rRNA from 1 species